rnacentral:rRNA from 1 species
AAUUGACGGGGACCCGCACAAGCGGUGGAUGAUGUGGAUUAAUUCGAUGCAACGCGAAAAACCUUACCUACCCUUGGCAUGUCUGGAACCUUGGUGAGAGCCCGAGGGUGCCUUCGGGAGCCAGAACACAGGUGCUGCAUGGCUGUCGUCAGCUCGUGUCGUGAGAUGUUGGGUUAAGUCCCGCAACGAGCGCAACCCUUGUCAUUAGUUGCCAUCAUUUGGUUGGGCACUCUAAUGAGACUGCCGGUGACAAACCGGAGGAAGGUGGGGAUGACGUCAAGUCCUCAUGGCCCUUAUGGGUAGGGCUUCACACGUCAUACAAUGGUCGGUACAGAGGGUUGCCAACCCGCGAGGGGGAGCUAAUCCCACAAAGCCGAUCGUAGUCCGGAUCGCAGUCUGCAACUCGACUGCGUGAAGUCGGAAUCGCUAGUAAUCGUGGAUCAGCAUGUCACGGUGAAUACGUUCCCGGGUCUU